UAAGCCUGGGAAACUGGGUCUAAUACCGGAUAUGACUCCUCAUCGCAUGGUGGGGGGUGGAAAGCUUUUUGUGGUUUUGGAUGGACUCGCGGCCUAUCAGCUUGUUGGUGAGGUAAUGGCUUACCAAGGCGACGACGGGUAGCCGGCCUGAGAGGGUGACCGGCCACACUGGGACUGAGACACGGCCCAGACUCCUACGGGAGGCAGCAGUGGGGAAUAUUGCACAAUGGGCGCAAGCCUGAUGCAGCGACGCCGCGUGAGGGAUGACGGCCUUCGGGUUGUAAACCUCUUUCAGUAGGGAAGAAGCGAAAGUGACGGUACCUGCAGAAGAAGCGCCGGCUAACUACGUGCCAGCAGCCGCGGUAAUACGUAGGGCGCAAGCGUUAUCCGGAAUUAUUGGGCGUAAAGAGCUCGUAGGCGGUUUGUCGCGUCUGCCGUGAAAGUCCGGGGCUCAACUCCGGAUCUGCGGUGGGUACGGGCAGACUAGAGUGAUGUAGGGGAGACUGGAAUUCCUGGUGUAGCGGUGAAAUGCGCAGAUAUCAGGAGGAACACCGAUGGCGAAGGCAGGUCUCUGGGCAUUAACUGACGCUGAGGAGCGAAAGCAUGGGGAGCGAACAGGAUUAGAUACCCUGGUAGUCCAUGCCGUAAACGUUGGGCACUAGGUGUGGGGGACAUUCCACGUUUUCCGCGCCGUAGCUAACGCAUUAAGUGCCCCGCCUGGGGAGUACGGCCGCAAGGCUAAAACUCAAAGGAAUUGACGGGGGCCCGCACAAGCGGCGGAGCAUGCGGAUUAAUUCGAUGCAACGCGAAGAACCUUACCAAGGCUUGACAUGAACCGGUAAGACCUGGAAACAGGUCCCCCGCUUGCGGUCGGUUUACAGGUGGUGCAUGGUUGUCGUCAGCUCGUGUCGUGAGAUGUUGGGUUAAGUCCCGCAACGAGCGCAACCCUCGUUCUAUGUUGCCAGCACGUGAUGGUGGGGACUCAUAGGAGACUGCCGGGGUCAACUCGGAGGAAGGUGGGGACGACGUCAAAUCAUCAUGCCCCUUAUGUCUUGGGCUUCACGCAUGCUACAAUGGCCGGUACAAAGGGUUGCGAUACUGUGAGGUGGAGCUAAUCCCAAAAAGCCGGUCUCAGUUCGGAUUGGGGUCUGCAACUCGACCCC
rnacentral:rRNA from 1 species